CUCCACUCCAGCAAAAGAUGCUCCACAUAUGAGCUGCUAACUCAUCCAUUUCCCUUUAUAAAACUAUGAGUCGUUUCUCUGUGUUUUUUUUGUAGUUUGUGGAGAAGGCGGCGUUUAUACACGUAUGCAUGUGUGCAUGUGGCGCGAUUCGGUGACAAAUUCGUUCAAAUUACACACAGAUACAGAUCCCUUACAUUUGUGAAUGUGAACCAUCAAGAUGGCCAAUUUUUUUUUACAAUUUGAACACUGUGACUUGUAAUGUGAACAUAGCCUAAUACUGUUUGUGUUACCUUUCUUUGUUAUGGUCUAAUUAAUGUGGCUUGGAAUGUGACUAGAAAUUACUAAAUUACAGAGAAAAUAAAGUAUUUAUUAUUGGUUAAAUGAUUGUAGUUUAACAAGUUGCAUUUGUCAUUAUUAGCAUAUUAUAGAAUAUAAGUCUCUUUUCUAUUCUAUUUUUUGUUGCAGAUUUGAACUAAAAUGCUUCACACUAUCACUUUUUUCAGGGCGUACACAUUGGUGAUGAGAUUAUUGAGUUUGGAUCAGUCAACACAAGCAACUUCCAAAACCUGCAGAACAUUGCUUCUGUGGUUCAGCACAGUGAAGGGGUAUGAGAACAGUUCAUGCUGAAGAAUUAUUACCUAUUUCACAGUAAAAAAAAAAUGUAAUAAGUUUAUUUUCAUGUUUCUCAUGUGCCUAUUAGAAAUCUGUAAGUAUCGCAGUGAUCCGGAAUGGGCAGAGAGUUCAUCUGGGCUUGACUCCACAGCGCUGGUCUGGAAGGGGUCUAUUGGGAUGCAAUAUAGUACCUCUUCACAGAUGACUCUGAUUGAUUGGGAAGGAGAAUUCAGACCAAAGGGUUCACCAUGGGUCAUCUUCUGGUCAAACUCUGCACUUUGUUUUGUCACUGGGUGACGACAUACAUUCUGCAUUUUUCAGCGCAAUGUGGCUAAAUGGGUUUAUAUUCAAAUUCAUAAAUUUUUUUGAACACAUAUUUCUGCAUUUCUGGCUUAAACAUUCAUUUGGAGGAACUGUAUUGUGUAGAGA
rnacentral:lncRNA from 1 species